rnacentral:lncRNA from 1 species
UGCAAAGCCUCUAUACGGAGGAAGUCAAAAUGUAAAAAUAUUAAGAUCCAGGAACAAACUUAGUUGCAUAAACCCAUGCAUUGUUAGCAACAGGGUUGUCAAGGUGAUCCAAGAGGUUCUCAAGUGGGCCUUUGCCAGUGACAAUAGCUUGAACAAAGAAUCCAAACAUGGAGAACAUAGCCAAUCUUCCAUUCUUGAUCUCCUUAACUUUGAGCUCCGCGAAAGUUGUUGGGUCAUCUGCUAGGCCCAGUGGGUCAAAGUACUGGCCACCUGGGUAGAGAUCGUUGCCUUCGCCAACUCCAGGAAGCCCAUUAAUUCUGAAACCUUCUACAAGACCCAUUAGCACUACUUGGAAGCCCAAUACUGCUAGAAUGCUUUGAGCAUGGACAAGGUUUGGGUUGCCCAAAUAGUCCAGUCCACCUUCACUGAAGAUUUGGGCUCCUGCUUUGAACCAUACUGGCUCCUUGAAGUCCACUUUCACCCAUUUCUCAAGAACUUCUGGUGUAAUACAACCAAAUG